rnacentral:tRNA from 1 species
GCCUUAGUAGUGUAGUGGUCAGCACGCUCGACGUGUAUUUGAGAUUUCCGUGGUUCGAGUCCCGGCGAGGCCA